rnacentral:rRNA from 1 species
UGCCAGCAGCCGCGGUAAUACGGAGGGUGCAAGCGUUGUUCGGAAUUACUGGGCGUAAAGCGCGCGUAGGCGGCUAAAUUAGUCAGAUGUGAAAGUCCACGGCUCAACCGUGGAAGUGCAUUUGAAACUGUUUAGCUUGAGUACUGGAGGGGGUGGUGGAAUUCCCGGUGUAGAGGUGAAAUUCGUAGAUAUCGGGAGGAAUACCGGUGGCGAAGGCGACCACCUGGCCAGAUACUGACGCUGAGGUGCGAAAGCGUGGGGAGCAAACAGGAUUAGAUA